AUGACCCAGGGCCCCGCCGGGCGCUCCUCGCCCCAGACAACCUGGGCAAGGCCCGGCCUGGGGCGCAGGGAGCGGCGGCAGGGAGUCCGGCGGGCGGGACAGGGGCGGGCCGCGCGUGUCCUUCGUCCACGCACCCGCCGCCCAUCUUCCGUCCACGCGCCCGCCCUCUGGCCACGCGCCCCCCACGUGUCGCUCGUCCUCGUCCUCGCGCCCGCCGCCCGUGCUCGUCCACGCGCCCAUCAUUCUUCCACGCGCCUGUCCUCUGUCCCCGCGCCCCCGCGUGUCCUUUGUCCCCGCGCUCGCCACGCGUCCUUCGUCCACGCGCCCAUCGUUCCUCUACGUGCCAGUCCUCCGUCCUCGCGCGCGCCCCGGGUCCUUGGUCCAGGCACGCGCGCGGGGAGCCGCGCCUCCCGCGUCCCAGAGACCCACGCGCCCUCCGGUGGCUCAGACAGGUACUGCGUCGGGGCGCACCACUUUCCCAGGCCGGCAGUGCCCGCCCUGCGGACUCCAGCUCCUGGGCAGGCCCUGAGCCUCCCGCCCCGCCGCCAGGGCCCCAGACGAGGCUGGGCGGGAGGCUCAGGGCCUGCCCAGGAGCUGGAGUCCGCAGGGCGGGCACUGCCGGCCUGGGAAAGUGGUGCGCCCCGACGCAGUACCUGUCUGAGCCACCGGAGGGCGCGUGGGUCUCUGGGACGCGGGAGGCGCGGCUCCCCGCGCGCGUGCCUGGACCAAGGACCCGGGGCGCGCGCGAGGACGGAGGACUGGCACGUAGAGGAACGAUGGGCGCGUGGACGAAGGACGCGUGGCGAGCGCGGGGACAAAGGACACGCGGGGGCGCGGGGACAGAGGACAGGCGCGUGGAAGAAUGAUGGGCGCGUGGACGAGCACGGGCGGCGGGCGCGAGGACGAGGACGAGCGACACGUGGGGGGCGCGUGGCCAGAGGGCGGGCGCGUGGACGGAAGAUGGGCGGCGGGUGCGUGGACGAAGGACACGCGCGGCCCGCCCCUGUCCCGCCCGCCGGACUCCCUGCCGCCGCUCCCUGCGCCCCAGGCCGGGCCUUGCCCAGGUUGUCUGGGGCGAGGAGCGCCCGGCGGGGCCCUGGGUCAUCCUGGUGGGGAGCGCGCCCGCACCCGCACCCGCACCCGCACCCGCACCCGCACCCGCCCCGGCGCCCCGGCAGCUGCCUGGUAACCGGAUUUUGGACGUUCCCGAGACGCGUGGCCCUCGCUUUUCCCCGAGUGCGUGCCCGCUUUGCACGCAGCCUUCUUAUCCCGGGGCCGAGUGAGCGCGGGCUCGCUCAGGCGGCUUUGGGGAGAAGCCGCGGUGCAUGCAGUGAGGCUGCCCUGCGGGAGAGCGCAUGGAGGGACGGCCGGACCAUCUGGGCCCUCCCUGGUGGUCGUGCUGGAGGGUUGGGGCCCGUGUGGGGAGGGCUGCCAGCUCUGAGGCCCAGCACGGUCAGGGCACGUAUGUCCACAGCCCAAGCGGCCCGCUUCCUGGAUGCCUCGGAGCCGCGAGGAAGGCUCGGGGCUGAGGGCGGGCGACCGCGCACGCUCUCAAGGAAUGGGUGCUCGCGAGCAAUCCCCCUGCAGGAGCGCUUCCUCUGGGCCAGGCCGGCCUGCUGCCCGUGGCUUCCGUGCAGCUGCAUGCGCCGCCGCGGGAAACCUGGGGAAACUGAAGGUUCAAGGAGAGACCCUGGGCGUCCUUGCUGA
rnacentral:lncRNA from 1 species